GAUGAACGCUGGCGGCGUGCCUAAUACAUGCAAGUCGAGCGAACGGACGAGAAGCUUGCUUCUCUGAUGUUAGCGGCGGACGGGUGAGUAACACGUGGAUAACCUACCUAUAAGACUGGGAUAACUUCGGGAAACCGUAGCUAAUACCGGAUAAUAUUUUGAACCGCAUGGUUCAAAAGUGAAAGACGGUCUUGCUGUCACUUAUAGAUGGAUCCGCGCUGCAUUAGCUAGUUGGUAAGGUAACGGCUUACCAAGGCAACGAUGCAUAGCCGACCUGAGAGAGGGAUCGGCCACACUGGAACUGAGACACGGUCCAGACUCCUACGGGAGGCAGCAGUAGGGAAUCUUCCGCAAUGGGCGAAAGCCUGACGGAGCAACGCCGCGUGAGUGAUGAAGGUCUUCGGAUCGUAAAACUCUGUUAUUAGGGAAGAACAUAUGUGUAAGUAACUGUGCACAUCUUGACGGUACCUAAUCAGAAAGCCACGGCUAACUACGUG
rnacentral:rRNA from 1 species